rnacentral:rRNA from 1 species
GAUGAACGCUGGCGGCGUGCCUAAUACAUGCAAGUCGAGCGAAUGGAUUAAGAGCUUGCUCUUAUGAAGUUAGCGGCGGACGGGUGAGUAACACGUGGGUAACCUGCCCAUAAGACUGGGAUAACUCCGGGAAACCGGGGCUAAUACCGGAUAACAUUUUGAACCGCAUGGUUAGAAAUGGAAAGGCGGCUUCGUCUGUCCAUUAUGGAUGGACCCGCGUCGCAUUAGCUAGUUGGUGAGGUAACGGCUCACCAAGGCAACGAUGCGUAGCCGACCUGAGAGGGUGAUCGGCCACACUGGGACUGAGACACGGCCCAGACUCCUACGGGAGGCAGCAGUAGGGAAUCUUCCGCAAUGGACGAAAGUCUGACGGAGCAACGCCGCGUGAGUGAUGAAGGCUUUCGGGUCGUAAAACUCUGUUGUUAGGGAAGAACAAGUGCUAGUUGAAUAAGCUGGCACCUUGACGGUACCUAACCAGAAAGCCACGGCUAACUACGUGCCAGCAGCCGCAGUAA